rnacentral:lncRNA from 1 species
GGGAUUGAGUGAAAAAAUUCUAUUCUACAAUAAAUGGCAUAUGCGAGAAUCCAUGCAUGCUCUAUAAAUUAAAUAGAAAUCUCCAUUUUCCAAUCUCAAAUUGGGCAAGGACAAGCCUUCGGUUGUUGGAUUCCACAACUUAAUCCGGACCAAUUUGCCGUCUGCAAAGCCUAACGUCAGUUGAGCUGGCGGAGGCCUUUUUCUACGUAGGUUGGUUGGC